GUGCCAGCAGCCGCGGUAAGACGGAGGGUGCAAGCGUUGCUCGGAAUCAUUGGGCGUAAAGGGUGCGUAGGCGGCUUCUUAAGUCUGACGUGAAAGCCCAGGGCUCAGCCUUGGAAGUGCGUUAGAAACUGAGAAGCUUGAGUGCCGGAGGGGAGAGUGGAAUUCCUGGUGUAGCGGUGAAAUGCGUAGAUAUCAGGAGGAAUACCGGUGGCGAAAGCGACUCUCUGGACGGCAACUGACGCUGAGGCACGAAAGCGUGGGUAGCAAACAGGAUUAGAUACCCCCGUAGUCC
rnacentral:rRNA from 1 species